GUCUACGGCCAUGCCACCCUGAACGAGCCCGAUCUCUUCUGAUCUCGGAAGCUAAGCAGGGUCGGGCCUGGUUAGUACUUGGAUGGGAGACCAGUUAGGAAGACUAGGUGCUGUAGGUG
rnacentral:rRNA from 1 species